UCAUUAGAAGAGGAUUGGAUGGUACGUAUUCCAAUCGGAAGCAUUUUGACACCUGCAUUCAUCUGAAUAGAAUGUUUCGCUGGUUUCUGCCUUCUUGGUUUUUUACUUUCAUCCUCUCGCAGGCCGUGUUAAAUAACUUCAUGCAUAUCUACGAAGAGAUAAAGGCGUCCAUAGCAUACAUCCUAGUAACAUAUUUGCAAGAUGCUUGGACAAUGAACAUAAGGUUUGGGACAGGAUGCGUAUUGAGCAAAGAUGGACUGAUCAUCACGAAUUAUCAUGUCAUUGACGGCGCAAUGAAUAUCGAGUUGUAUUUUUUUUUCUCUUACUAUAAAUUUAUAUCUAAUGUUUCAUAGACUUUACAAAAAAAAAAUAUUAUUGUUUCAUUGUAUUAGACUCUUCAUAAUUUUUUUUUAAAAAGGACACAUUGUUAGGAAAAAUUAUGAUUUUUUUUUUCUUCGAAGUCCCUAAAAUGCUAUGCUUUUGAUUUUGCAACCAGACUCUUACUGUUUGGUUACAUACAGUAUAUGUUUUCCCCACAUAAAAGGCUACAAGGCAGGGGUUGUUGAAUUUGAGAAAGUGAUAGAUGUUGUUGUUUUACGCAUUUAUAACCUAAAAGACGAACUGAUACCCAUUCCUCUCGGUGUCUCCGAAGGCCUGAAAGUUGGUCAAAAAGUAUGCACCAUUGGACAUCCUGUGAGUUUCUUUUCCUUCUGAGAUAAUGUUGUUACAUUGUUGGAUAUUCUUUUUACUUUUUUACUUGUAUUUUUUGGACAUAAAUAUUGCACCUCCGUGAUAGGAUUAGGUUGGUGGAUGUGAAUGUUCAACCUAGUUUUCAAAAACAUAUCAUGUCACUGUAAUAUCAUCUAAUUAUAAUUGAGAAACAAUCUAACUCACAGUGGUGGCCACCAAUAUCUAGGCCGCAUGUACUACAUUAUAGCUAUCCUUGUGGGCCUUGGUGGAAUGAGCUUCUUAUGGUUUAUAUGUUGUAGCUUGAUUUUUGUCUUGUUAUCAAUUAAUUGGAUCUAUUUCUUGCUUUUAGAAUGCUUCUUUAAUAUAAAUUUGAGUAAACUUUGGUGCUCUAUUGUUGUGCAAAUUAACUUUUCUCAUAUAUGGCAAUAUAUUACUGAUCUGAAUUACCGAACUAACUAGAAGAUUAAUGUAUACUUCUUUUUUCUUUCAGCUGGGCUAUAUCGCGAUUCCUUUAUCGCUGCUCAUAUCAGUUAUCCUUACAGAACUAUUCAGUCUACUGUAUUGCCGUAACAUUCUAUGAAUGUUAUACAGAUAGAUCAUCAUAUAUCGGGUGGGAAUAGUGGAGGACCACUUCUCGAUCACUUGGGAUGCUUAAUUGGGAUAGUUGUAUCAUCAGCUCCAGAUUUUAGAUUUGCUAUCCCCAUUGAUUCGGUCAUCAGCUGUGCAGGAAAGCUUUUGAAGCUUAAGAAAGCGCACUAGACAAGACAAUAGAUGAUGAUGGUUCUGUUCCUUGAUUAACGGCACACUGAGAACUUGUAAUAAAAGAGAGCUUCAAAAAAAUACUCACUUAGGAGUUAUUCAGGGAAAUAAUGCCAUCGGUGGUGCAAUCUUCGACUGUACUCGUGCACAAAAAAAAGUGGGGUUCGUUGCAGGCCUACUGCUAUAAGUCAUUGCCAUAUGCUGUUAAAGUCAUAG